CUUGUAGUACUGGGACUCUAACCAUAGGCCAUGAAUCUGGUCUUGGGACACUGUCAGGUGGGCAGUUUGACUGGGGCGGUCGCCUCCCAAAAGGUAACGGAGGCGCUCAAAGGUUCUCUCAGUACGGUCGGAAAUCGUACGUAGAGGGUAAAGGCAAAAGAGAGCUUGAUUGCAAGACAUACAGGUCGAGCAAGGAUGAAAAUCGGACUUAGUGAUCCGGUGGUUCUGCGUGGAAGGGCCAUCGCUCAACGGAUAAAAGCUACCCUGGGGAUAA
rnacentral:rRNA from 1 species